UACGUAGGGGGCUAGCGUUGUCCGGAAUCAUUGGGCGUAAAGAGCGUGUAGGCGGCUCGGUAAGUCCGCUGUGAAAGUCGGGGGCUCAACCCUCGAAUGCCGGUGGAUACUGUCGAGCUAGAAUUCGGUAGGGGAGACUGGAAUUCCUGGUGUAGCGGUGAAAUGCGUAGAUAUCAGGAGGAACGCCGGUGGCGAAGGCGGGUCUCUGGGCAGAAAUUGACGCUGAGGAGCGAAAGCGUGGGGAGCAAACAGG
rnacentral:rRNA from 1 species